AGAGUUUGAUCAUGGCUCAGAACGAACGCUGGCGGCGCGUCUUAAACAUGCAAGUCGAACGAUCUGUAGCAAUACAGGGAGUGGCGGACGGGUGAGGAACACGUAGGAAUCUACCUUGAAGAGCGGGACAACUUUGGGAAACCGGGGCUAAUACCGCAUAGUACAGAGAUGUUAAAGGGCUAGCAAUAGUCGCUUCGAGAUGAGCCUGCGGUCUAUCAGCUUGUUGGUGAGGUAAUGGCUCACCAAGGCUACGACGGAUAGCCGGUCUGAGAGGAUGAUCGGCCACACUGGCACUGAGACACGGGCCAGACUCCUACGGGAGGCAGCAGUUAAGAAUCUUGCGCAAUGGGGGAAACCCUGACGCAGCGACGCCGCGUGAAGGAUGAAGGCUUCGGGUUGUAAACUUCGGUAGACUGGGAAGAAGAAAUACGUUCGUUGAGGGCGUAUAGUGACGGUACCAGUCUGAAGCCCCGGCUAAUUACGUG
rnacentral:rRNA from 1 species